GAUGAAGAACGUAGCGAAAUGCGAUAAGUAAUGUGAAUUGCAGAAUUCAGUGAAUCAUCGAAUCUUUGAACGCACAUUGCGCCCCCUGGUAUUCCCGGGGGCAUGCCUGUUCGAGCGUCAUUUCACCACUCAAGCCUCGCUUGGUAUUGGGCAUCGCGGUCCGCCGCGUGCCUCAAAUCGACCGGCUGGGUCUUCUGUCCCCUAAGCGUUGUGGAAACUAUUCGCUAAAGGGUGUUCGGGAGGCUACGCCGUAAAACAACCCCAUUUCUAAGGUUGACCUCGGAUCAGGUAGGGAUACCCGCUGGACUUAAGCAUAUCAAUAAGCGGAGGA
rnacentral:misc_RNA from 1 species